CUUAAGCAUAUUAAUAAGCGGAGGAAAAGAAACCAAAAGGGAUUCCCUCAGUAACGGCGAGUGAAGAGGGAGAAGCCCAGCGCUGAAUCGUAUUGCUUGCAAAGGUAGUAUGACAUGUAGCGUGAAGCUGGCGGCUAUUGCUGUUGUCGAUGCGUGUAAGUCUCCCUGAGCGGGGCUCAGUCCCAGAGAUGGUGCUAGGCCCGUAUCGCGCGUGACAAGUACAGCAAUGUUCGUUAGCGGAGAGUCAGGUUGCUUGGGAACGCAAUCUAAAGUCGGUGGUACACUCCAUCGAAGGCUAAAUAUGGCUUCGAGUCCGAUAGCGAACAAGUACCGUGAGGGAAAAUUGAAAAGCACUUUGAAGAGAGAGCGAAAUAGUGCGUGAAACCGCUCAGAGGUAAGCAGAUGGGCCUUUGAAGGUGUGCAUAGGAUUUAUUUCCUAGUUCGUACGCCACCGUCGUUGCUUGAUUUUUUGGUGCGCCAUGCGCUGACAUUUGGACACCCGAGAUUGGGACUCGUGCCUGCUCGGGAUGCUCGGUGUUGGACGUAAUGAGUAUAGCGGCACUUGGUAACGAAGCAGGGCAUUGUCGUUGCUGUAAAGCGCCGGCUGUGUUUGCUUGCUGGCGUAUUUGCUGUUGUGACGAGACGCAAGUCUCGGCAUGCGGCAUACGUCGCAAAUCGAGCAUUAGCCCCGGCAUAACGACUUUAAGACCCGGUGGCGAGUAAACAGUUUCCCAUCUAACCCGUCUUGAAACACGGAACCAAGGA
rnacentral:rRNA from 1 species